UUCAAAACUAAUCUGGAUCCUCCUCCACCUCAUUGUUUGUAUGUGCCCUUCUUGCUACUUAUUACCAAGGGCAGUGUUGUCCUUACACUUGGCUUUGGGGCACUGUCCUUGGGAUCAGGACGUGAUUUCUGUGGAGGAGUUCGAUUCCCUCCAGAGGCUGCUGCUUGCUUCGCUUACUUAGAUGAUUGCGUGGGGCUGCUCCCUUCUGCCUCCACCCUGAGCCCUCAUCUUGUAUCUGUGUGCACCUGAGUGAUCCUGUUCCCUCUGACCCCGUCAGCUUGAUGAGGAGCGUAGGUAAUGUGAGGGGCAUGUGACAGCCCUUUUGUCAAGAAGACUCACUUCCUGCCUCAAGUCUGAGCUGAAAGUGGACCACAGACUCAGGUAGUUGCAUAUGGACUCAACAUGUCACCGGAAGGAAAACACCAGCUGGUCUUACAGCUCUUGAACGGGCAGCUCACCCAGAGACACCACGCUGCAGGGCUUCUCUGCACCAACGUUCUUUCAGGGCCUGUGGAGAAAAUAUGGACGUUAGCAGUCAGAAAACAUGCUCGGGACACAGCAUUCGUGGCCGAGCUUCCCACAGCAGUGUGUAUGAACACCGCAGCUCCUCAUGGAACAAUUCUGUCCUCACCAAGCAACAUGAGACAACAAGGAAACACUUUCUGCCCCAGAAAUGUCCUUCCAUCACUUCCAGUUAAAAAUCACAUUUCUCCAAGAUUCUACCCACUCCCAUACACCUCAGCCUGGCUAAGGAAAUGAUUGGAAACUUAAAUCUGAGAGAAAAAGCUGACAUUUUACGAUAACGGGGAAAAGUUAUCCUCAAAUACUGCCUGUGGUAUUAAAAAUGGAAUUCAG
rnacentral:lncRNA from 1 species